CUGCCCAUCAAGCACGGCUUGUGUGUUGGGUCGUCGUCCCCCCCUCCGGGGGGGGACGGGCCCUAAAGGCAGCGGCGGCACCGCGUCCGAUCCUCGAGCGUAUGGGGCUUUGUCACCCGCUCUGUAGGCCCGGCCGGCGCUUGCCGAACGCAAAACAACCAUUCUUUCCAGG
rnacentral:misc_RNA from 1 species